GAGACUUCAAACCCUCAGCUUCCGGUCCCAACCCAUAGAGUCUUCCAUCUCCUACGUCGGAAGUGACAUACAGCUCCUGUUCUCCUUCGCGUCCGUAGAGGUGACCCAGGCUGGAGAGGGGGGAGAAGCGGCGGGACGAAGAGCGGAAGCACCCCUCCUACCUGGACCCGGAAAAACAUGGCAACCCCGAGCCGGCCUAUCCGGAAACCGGCUCGAAGAAGUCGGGGAGAGGGGGAUUAGCCAUCGCUUCCGGAAGUUGUGACUUUUGUUUCAGAGCGGGCGAUCUUCCGAGACGCACUGGGGACCGGAUGUAGAAUUCCUGCUUAUCUGUGAAAUGCAGUUAACACAGCAGCUGGACCUAUUUCCUGAAUGCAGAGUGACCCUUCUGUUAUUUAAAGAUGUCAAAAAUGCAGGAGAUUUGAGAAGAAAGGCCAUGGAAGGGACCAUCGAUGGAUCACUGAUAAAUCCUACAGUGGCCACUGCUGCAUUUUGGUACAUUUGACUUCAGUACACUUAAACCUCGCUUUCAGGAACAUAGAGAGGGCCAUCUUCUUAGGAAUACAAAUCCCUCAAGAAUGGUGCUCGAGCUGCUCAAGCUUUCCAACCAGAAGAUAUGACUGUAUGAAAAGAUGCGACGAGAAACAAUAGAACCAGCCUCACUUCUGCCCCAUAAAACAAUUCAAAUCACUGAAGAUGACAUCUCUUGCUGGCAUCUCUGCUGCCAUCUACUGAGUCAAACUGGCACACAGUCUAGUCAGUCCUAACCAAGAAGGGUCAUUGUUCUGUAUACGUUUCCAUUUUAAGUCUUACCAUGUUGUAUUACAACUGUUUGUAUAUAACUUUACUUCUAGAUUGCAAGUACCCACAAGAUACAUAGGAUGUCUUGUUCCUCUUUUAGUAGGUAAUCAGGAAAUGGUUGUUGGAUUAAGUAACUGUGAGUGUUACAGGCCUUCUCCAAAAAGAGCAUCUCAAGAAUUUUCUUAAGGACUCCUCCAAAACCCAGACACUACCAUAAUUAUAUCAAGCAGAAGAGAGCAAGUAGUUUAUUUUUAAGGCCUUCAGAGUAGCUCCUUCUACAACUUUUUUUAUUCACCCAAUAUCAGCCUUCACAAUCUCCAUCAUCAGCAAAUUAUUCUGUCUCAAAUAAGAAUUGUUUAUUAUUUAGGUCUAUGGCUCAUGUGGCUUAGAGUUGGUUGUAACCUUAAUGUGAGGGGUUUUGGACACUCAAAAGCAGAACUGUGACGAUACUGUUGUUCUUUUCUUCCCAAAUUGAAUAAGCGCAUUCCUUCAACUUUUCUUUCUACAUCUUCAUGAUCUAUACUAGUUUCAAUACUCUAUUUAGCAUUUAAGCAAAGGUAAUUUUUUUUUUUAAUUUUUUAUUGGAUUAUAGGUUUUGGGGUACAUGAGCAGAGCAUGCAAGACAGUUGCGUAGGUACACACAUGGCAGUGUGCUUUGCUUUUCUUCUCCCCUUCACCCACAUUUGGCAUUUCUCCCCAGGCUAUCCCUCCCCACCUCCCCCUCCCACUGGCCCUCCCCUUUUCCCCCCAAUAGACCCCACUGUUUAGUACUCCCCUUUCUGUGUCCAUGUGUUCUCAUUUUUCAUCACCCACCUGUGAGUGAGAAUAUGCGGUGUUUCAUUUUCUGUUCUUGUGUCAGUUUGCUGAGGAUGAUGUUUUCCAGAUUCAUCCAUGUCCCUACAAACGACACAAACUCAUCAUUUCUGAUUGCUGCAUAAUAUUCCAUGGUGUAUAUGUGCCACAUUUUUCCAAUCCGGUCUAUUAUCAAUGGGCAUUUGGGUUGAUUCCAGGUCUUUGCUAUUGUAAACAGUGCCGCAAUGAACAUUCAUGUACAUGUGUCCUUAUAGUAGAACGAUUUAUAGUCUUUUGGAUAUAUACCCAGUAAUGGGAUAAGCAAAGGUAAUUUUAAGAAGUGUUUGCUGUCCCUGCUAUUAUCCUUAUCAAUGGGAUACCUUGCAUUAGGCAAACCUAGCAUUUACCAGGCAGAUAAGUUAGGAGUUGGUGAUUCAUUUCACAGAGCAGUCCCAGGAAAAUUUCUUCAAAAUGACUACUUCAGUCCUAUUUCAUUUAGAAAAUAUUCAUUUUUGAGCAAUUUUUCAUGAAUUACAAAUCACAGAAUGAGAGUAGCUGUAAUCUUACUGAUGUCUAAUUUAUGUGUCACUUGGGUUUAAGAUAUGUAUUUUUUUCUGGUUUCUGCUGCUGGUGUGAGGAGCUCUUCAAGAUCUCUUGUCCCUUACAGAAGUGGUCAGCAUGAAGAUCAUCUCUUAGAAAGUAUUAUGUUCAUUUGACACCUGAAAAGGCAUACCCAGAGAGUAGAAGAAACUUGGAGACUCUUUAUAUACACAGAUAGCAGAAAGGAGUCUUUCCCAUCUCUAAGGGACCAACCUGGGCAAAGGAAUAGCCUUGGCAAUCAGUCUCCCUGUCGCUGCACACUCAAGAAAACAGGGAGAGUCACAUUCUCUAAUGCCAAGGUUAAUACCUAUCUUUGGUUUCUUAGCAAGCAGGUUCUCUGCACUGCAAUCUGGAAGGCCACUAGAAUCUCUCUGCCAAUGUUUUUGCCAUCCUCAUUAUUGAUCCUAGUAGCAGCAUGAACCUGUUUCUGGAUGUUGUGUUUAGAUGCUGAUCAGCAUUAAGUACUCACCCCAGGGAGGCUGGGCAAAAACAGCAUGCGGACUUUUCAAGCUGACUUUAUAAACUGUUUGCUCUUUGGACUUGUCAGGGCCGGCAGUCAGAACCCAUGAUCGUUAAUUCAUAAAUGCCUAAUUCUUUAAGCAAUUUGGCAAAAAUCUUCAAUAAUUCAGUUUCACUGCUGGGGGCUGCUUCCAAAAUGUAUAUUUUCAAAAUGUGUGAGCAGACCGGGCACAGUGGCUCACGCCUGUCAUCCCAGCACUUUGGGAGGCUGAGGCAGGCAGAUCUCCUGAGGUUGGGAGUUCAGGACCAGCCUGAGAAACAUGGAGAAACCCUGUCUCUACUAAAAAUACAAAAUUAGCCGGGUGCGGUGGAGCACACCUGUAAUCUCAGCUACUUCGGAGGCUGAGGCAGGAGAAUUGCUUGAACCCAGGAUGCAGAGGUGGCAGUGGGCCUAGAUUAUGCCACUACAUUCCAGCCUGGGCAACAAGAGCGAAACUCCAUCAAAAAAAAAAAAAUUGGCAAAAAUCUUUGAUAAUUCAGUCCCAUUGCUGGGGGCUGCUUCCAAAAUGUAAUUUUCAAAAUGUGUGAGCAGGCCAGGCACGGUAGCUCACACCUGUGAUGCCAGCACUUUGGGAGGCCAAGGCGGGUGGAUCACGAAGUCAAGAGAUCGAGACCAUCCUGGUCAACAAGGUGAAACCCCAUCUCUACUAAAAAUACAAAAAUUAGCUGGGCAUGGUGGUAGGUACCUGUAGUCCCAGCUACUUAGGAGGCUGAGGUAGGAGAAUUGCUUGAACCCCGAAGGCAGAGUUGCGGUGAGCCGAGAUCAUGCCAUUGCACCCCAGUCUAGGCAACAACAGUGAAACUCAAUCUCAAAAAAAAAAAGUUUGCCCAUAGUGGAGAGCUAAAAAUGCUUGGUGGUGACUAUUGGUGCAAUUUGAUAUACAACAUGACAAUGGAAACCCCCCCAGUCACAGUGGAAUUUCCACUAAAGAGCUAACUGGAUAGAGACAAGGAUCCAUGUAGGCAAAUCUUCAAAAUGUACUUUUGUAGCCUCUAUUUUAAAACUGUAAUACUGCUUCUUAAUCAGGCUUAUGGCAUACAGUUGGGGAAGAAUGCUACAGAUUUAUUCUUUAGAGUGGGGUUGGGGGAAGUGAGAAUUACUUAAGGAGUCUGUACCUUUCUCUCUACCCGCAAAUUACAUCUGUGCUAUCUUCCACAUUCUUCGGCAUUAGAAAUCAAAAUGGUCUCCAUACUGGAUUGGCUUACACAUAGUAGGUCUACCCUUUAUCCUCCCUUCUGUUACCAGCACAUCAAUAAAUUGGGUAUUCUGCAGUAGGCUUUUCCAAAUGAGAAAAUAUGGUAAUCCUUUACUUUCUUUAUCCAUUCAAAAAGCUUCAUUUAAAGUUGAUGGAGGCCUGGCAUGGUGGCUUACACCUAUAAUCCCAGCACUUUGGGAGGCUGAAGCGGGUGGAUCACUUGAGGUCAGGAGUUUGAGACCAGCCUGGCCAACAUGGUGAAACCCCAUUUCUGCUAAAAAUACAAAAAUUUUCUGGGUGUGGUGGCAGGUGCCUGUAAUCCCAGCUAGUCAGGAGGCUGAGGCAGGAGAAUCGCUUGAACCCAGGAGGCAGAGGUUGCAGUGAGCCAAGACUGCACCAGUGCACUCCAGCCUGUGUGACAGAGAUAGACUCUGUCUAAAUAAAUAAAUAAAAAUAAGGUUGAUGGAAACAAGAAAUUAAAUCUAGCCUCCAUUUAGGACAGAGGUUUAAAUUAGUGACCUGCAAGUCAAGUCUGGUCUGCAGAUGUGUUUUGUUUGGCCCACACAGUACUCUGAAAAAUCAGGACUACUUACAUCAAAUCGACAUUUCCAGCUUUCAACAAGGUACACCAAGUCCACAAUCCUGCAUAAUAAAAAUUGCCUGGAAUUUAUCACUAUUGUCACUUUUGAAAAGUCCCUAGAUGUUCCUUUCCCUGACUGUGAUUUCACUCAUUUACAGUAGUGCCAGAGCUCUAUAGGUAUUUGAAAGUGACCUUUCGUUUGGAGUCUAGGAAAGGAACAUCAAGGAGACUGACACAGAUCCUCAAGGUAGGGAAGGUAGCUGUAGAUAAUUAUCAAUUAAAAAAACUUAAAAAACUAUAUAAAUAACAAGGUCUUUAUUAUGUAUCCAAUAUGUUUUUAUUCAAGAACACAACAAAUUAUAACUACUAGCAAAUUGACAGCUUAUAGUUUCAGUAGUGCUACACCAAACAUUUGUUAAAUGCUGUUUUUUUUCUGAGAAAAAAAUGGAAGAAAUGUAUGAGCUUUGUAUAAAAUGUACAAAGUUAAAAAAAAAAAUAAGGCCUCUGCUUUGAUUUUUAACUUAACAUAUGCUUUAGCAAUCUAACAGAAUUUCAGGCACCUAAAAAGUAGCAAUUUUUCAUCUUUUAAAGUUAAAAAAAGUGAUUAAUUUAAUGGUCAUUUCUUAGUUAGUUCAGGAUUUAGGAAAAGUUCUUAAUAUUAAGAAAAAUUUUUAUUAGAUUUCCGUUUCAGAAUGUCUCUAAACCUUUCCGAAUGAAUGAAUUUAAUAGAAAUCCAUUUUGAUACAUGCUUGACGAUAAUAAAUAAAAAUGUGACUAGUUACAAUUAAAUCUUUUAGACCUUGGAAUAAAUUUCUUCCUUUCCUCACUGAUAUGGUGGAACGAAAACCUAAUAUGAAAUCAGAGAAACUUAAUUCAUCAUGGCCCUUGCUAUGCGCCUGCUAUGUCAAUCAUAGCAGAAGAAGAAGAAAAGAGAGAAGACUCACUCGAGCAAGACCCAGUAAAACACACGAACACUGGUUAAAUCUUCAUCGGAACAAUUCAAAGGCUAAAAGGCAUUGUUAAGCAAUUGGUGAAAUUUGAAUAUGGACUGGCUAUUAGAUAAUAUUAAGGAAUUAAGGAAUUAUUAUUAGUAAUUUAAAAAAUAUGCUGUGUCUUUCCAUUGAAAUUGUAAUCUUGCUAGCAGAAAUUGUGUGCAAAAUAGGUAUUCAGUAGAUGUUGUUGAUGCAGAUGUUGAAUUGUAAUGUUUUAAAUUAAGGUUGAAGGUCAAGAAGCACUAGGAAAUAAUUUCUACCUUUUCAGAAUUACUGAAUUUGAGAGUUCAAAAUGACAAGAGGAGUUAUCUAGUCAAAAUAAAUUUAUCUUAAGUGUGAAGAAAAGCACACAUAGCUAGAAAGUGGUGGGGCUGGUCUAGAAUGCAGGUUUCUGUGCAGACCCACAUUAUACCUCCUUCCGUGUAGCUUACAUGGAGCCUCUUAUAGCUUCAAAGCCCUAUGUAGCUCACAACUCAAUCUUUCUCCUUCUCCACUUAACUUUAUAAUCUUGCUCUUCCUCCCAACUCCAUUUUCCAUCUCCAGCCUUUUUAAAAUUUAUAUUCACUUGACAACUUUUACUUUCCUUGGGAAAGCUGCCAGGGGCAAUUCUAACUGAGAAGGAAUAAUAACGAGCAAAGGAAAAACAAGGCAAAGUGAAAAGAACAACGACAGCGGCUGUUUAAGCUUCCUCUAAGAUGAUACGUCUACUUUAUCCCCCUGGCUUUCAUGAACACACUUUUUCCUCAGCUCUGUCAAAUACUUUAAAGAGGGAUAAACAUAUAAAUACAAAUCAAUAGACAUAUGGGAUUUAGCAAGUAUAAACUAACAGAGAAAUGUGUUUCUGGGGCCUAUUAUGUAGAAAUUACAGCUAUCUUUUCUUAAGUUCCUCUGUUAUGUUAUACACAUAUAUUAGUGAUACACAUACAUUAUCACUAAUCCUCACAGCAAGCCUAAGGGAUGACUGCCCAUAUUUUAUAAAUGAGGAAGAGGUAGGGCCACAAUUUUAAUAUGAAGCUGUCUGACUGCCCGUUAAUCUUCUUACCACCGUAACAUAAAAAUACAUACUCAAUUUAAAUUUAGGAGGGGAAAAAGUUAUGCUUUCUGCUCUUAUUCUAAUAGCAGCUCAUUUUUAUUUUUACUUGAAAAAUGUUUUUUUCCUUUUUUAGUAACAGAGACAGGAUCUUACUGUGUUGCCUAGGCUGGUCUCAAACUCAAGCGAUCCUCCUGCCUCGACCUCCCAAAGUGCUGGGAUUACCACCUCGCCCAGCCAGCAGCUCAUUUUAACCAUGUUUCAUGGUCAAGGCUGACAUUUAGCUAGUAUGUCCUGGUGUGUGGCAUAAGGGCUAAAGGCUGUUCUCUUUCACUGGGUACCUGUCCUGCUUGAUUUGUGCCCAUGCCAUACUAAUCAUUAAAUAUUUUUAAUAUUACACUUGUCCAUGGCAUAGAACUU